AUUUAUUGGAGCAUAUGUACUUUUUGGAAUAACAGGUGAAUUGUGUUUUCUUUAAACUUUUAUUUGUAGAUAAACCGAAUAUGCAUUGGAAAUUCCUUCUUGUUGUUUUGCUGAUCUUCAUAAUAAAUUAAGGUGCAACACUCUUAGAUAAGGAUGAGAAUGAAAUGUUCAAGAGUCCUCUCGAUAGCCAAGAGUUUAAAAGGCAAAGAGAAAGAAGAGAAACAGAAACAGAUCUCCAGAUCCUCCGGAGAUUGCUUCGUAACAGAUUUAGAAAUAGACAGAGAUCACAGCAGAACUCCACUCGGUUUAGAUUCUGAACAUUCCCUCGUACAUGUAUAGAAGUUUUACAUGUUUAGGCAUUCAAUAUUAAAAAAAAAGAUUGAUUAA